CAAGACGUAGCUAUAAUAAAAGCACUCGGCCUACACCCGAGAGAUAUCUGCCACUCACCAGAUCGCCUUGA
rnacentral:tRNA from 1 species